AAUCAACGCUGGCGGCGUGCCUAACACAUGCAAGUCGCACGAGAAAGUGGAGCAAUCCAUGAGUACAGUGGCGCACGGGUGAGUAACACGUGAAUAAUCUACCUUCGAGUGGGGAAUAACUGAGAGAAAUCUUAGCUAAUACCGCAUAACACUUACGAGUCAAAGCAGCAAUGCGCUUGAAGAGGAGUUCGCGGCAGAUUAGUUAGUUGGCGGGGUAAGUGGCCC
rnacentral:rRNA from 1 species